CUUGAAUGUUGAUGGUUAGUACUACACGAGGGUCGGAGUAAACCGCACUUGCUCCGACCCCUUUCAGGGCAAUGUCCAUGUAUGUAUUACGAUCACAUUCUGUGUUUUGCAAUCGCUGCUAGAGUCCAUAUUGCAAAUUACACAUUUCACUAGUCAGAGACUAAUCGAACAUAUUUUACAUAAAAUA